rnacentral:rRNA from 1 species
GUGAGGAAUUUUCCGCAAUGGGCGAAAGCCUGACGGAGCAAUGCCGCGUGAAGGAUGAAGGCCUAUGGGUUGUAAACUUCUUUUCUCAGAAAAGAAUUAUGACGGUAUCUGAGGAAUAAGCAUCGGCUAACUCUGUGCCAGCAGCCGCGGUAAUACGGAGGAUCCAAGCGUUAUCCGGAAUCAUUGGGUUUAAAGGGUCCGUAGGCGGCCUUAUAAGUCAGUGGUGAAAUCUCCUAGCUCAACUAGGAAACUGCCAUUGAUACUGUAGGGCUUGAAUUUUUGUGAAGUAACUAGAAUAUGUAGUGUAGCGGUGAAAUGCUUAGAUAUUACAUGGAAUACCAAUUGCGAAGGCAGGUUACUAACAAACGAUUGACGCUGAUGGACGAAAGCGUGGGGAGCGAACAGGAUUAGAAACCCGAGUAGUCC